rnacentral:rRNA from 1 species
UACGUAGGGUGCGAGCGUUAAUCGGAAUUACUGGGCGUAAAGCGUGCGCAGGCGGUUUUGUAAGCCAGAUGUGAAAUCCCCGGGCUCAACCUGGGAAUGGCAUUUGGGACUGCAAGGCUUGAGUGCGGCAGAGGAGACUGGAAUUCCUGGUGUAGCAGUGAAAUGCGUAGAUAUCAGGAGGAACAUCGAUGGCGAAGGCAGCCCCUUGGCCCUGUAUUGACGUUCAUGCACGAAAGCGUGGGGAGAAAACAGG